UACGAAGGGUGCAAGCGUUACUCGGAAUUACUGGGCGUAAAGGGUGCGUAGGUGGUUCUUUAAGUCUGCUGUGAAAUCCCCGGGCUCAACCUGGGAACUGCAUUUGUGACUGCAUAGCUAGAGUACGGUAGAGGGGGAUGGAAUUCCGCGUGUAGCAGUGAAAUGCGUAGAUAUGCGGAGGAACACCGAUGGCGAAGGCAAUCCCCUGGACCUGUACUGACGCUCAUGCACGAAAGCGUGGGGAGCAAACAGG
rnacentral:rRNA from 1 species